AUUGAACGCUGGCGGCAGGCCUAACACAUGCAAGUCGAGCGAGAGGCGGACGGGUGAGUAAUGUAUGGGGGCUGCGCGCUAGAGAGGGAUAACAACAGGAAACAGUGUCUAAUACCGCGUACUAUAGGGGAGCACCUAUGGGAUUAGCUAGUAGGUGGGGUAAUGGCUCCCCUAGGCGACGAUCCCUAGCUGGUCUGAGAGGAUGAUCAGCCACACUGGGACUGAGACACGGCCCAGACUCCUACGGAGGCAGCAGUGGGGAAUAUUGCACAAUGGGCGCAAGCCUGAUGCAGCCAUGCCGCGUGUAUGAAGAAGGCCCUAGGGUUGUAAAGUACUUUCAGUCGGGAGGCGUUACCGACAGAAGAAGCACCGGCUAACUCCGUGCCAGCAGCCGCGGUAAUUC
rnacentral:rRNA from 1 species